UACCAGCACCCCGAGUGGUCGGGACGAUUAUUGGGCCUAAAGCAUCCGUAGCCGGUCCUGCAAGUCUUCCGUUAAAUCCAGCUGCUCAACAGAUGGGCUGCGGAGGAUACUACAGGGCUAGGAGGCGGGAGAGGCAAGCGGUACUUUAUGGGUAGGGGUAAAAUCCGUUGAUCCAUAGAAGACCACCAGUGGCGAAGGCGGCUUGCCAGAACGCGCUCGACGGUGAGGGAUGAAAGCUGGGGGGGCAAACCGG
rnacentral:rRNA from 1 species